rnacentral:rRNA from 1 species
GACGAACGCUGGCGGCGUGCCUAAUACAUGCAAGUGGGACGCAAGGAAACACACUGUGCUUGCACACCGUGUUCUCUUGAGUCGCGAACGGGUGAGUAACGCGUAGGUAACCUGCCUAUUAGCGGGGGAUAACUAUUGGAAACGAUAGCUAAUACCGCAUAAUAUUAAUUAUUGCAUGAUAAUUGAUUGAAAGAUGCAAGCGCAUCACUAGUAGAUGGACCUGCGUUGUAUUAGCUAGUUGGUAAGGUAAGAGCUUACCAAGGCGACGAUACAUAGCCGACCUGAGAGGGUGAUCGGCCACACUGGGACUGAGACACGGCCCAGACUCCUACGGGAGGCAGCAGUAGGGAAUCUUCGGCAAUAGACGAAAGUCUGACCGAGCAACGCCGCGUGAGGGAAGAAGGUUUUCGGAUCGUAAAGCUCCGUUGUAAGUCAAGAAAGUGUGUGGGAGUUGAAAGUUCACACAGUGACGGUAGCUUACCAGAAAGGGACGGCUAACUACGUG